GAGAAAUUAGUUUAUAAGAACAUAAAGUUGUCAAUUUUAAAGUGCUAGUAUAUUAGUAUUUCUCU
rnacentral:tRNA from 1 species